rnacentral:lncRNA from 12 species
CGGGCCUACCAAGGACCAUUAGGAUAAUGCUGGUAAUGAUGAAGCUAAGGCAGAAAGGAUCAUGACAAAUAGUUGAGAUGAAACUAAGAGAACACCUUUGGAUGGAGUCAAGGCCGUCUUGGACAUUAGCCUGAGGAUGUCCGCACUGACAUAUUUGGUCUGUCAAAGGGCUUUAUACUACUCAUUUCUCAGGAUGUGCUGUGGAAGGGGGAGGAGCCUGCCAAGCUGUCUGGAGUUACAACUCUGAGAGUUCCCCUGGACCCUAAAGUUUUCUGGAACCUAAUUAAGGAAUCACUAACAUUGUUCCUAACUGAGCUGGGAACAGUACAACAGACACCACUGGUGCCCCGCCCUAUAUCCUUGAACCACCUCAAUUUACGAAGAGUGCUGGUGAAGUGUUCUCAGUCCACUGGAAAUUUAAUUGAUGACUGAAGAUGUGCAAUUGCCUUUGCCUUGGAAUCACCACUGCUUUAAAAUGAUGCUGAGGGCACUGGGGUGACUCAGUCAGUUGAGCAGCUGCCUUCAGCUCAGGUCAUGAUCCAGGGGUCCUGCGAUCAAGUCCCACAUCAGGCUCCCUGUGGAGCCUGCUUCUGCCUCUCCCUCUCCCUCUGCCUGCCACUCCUCCAGCUUGUGCUUUCUGUCAAAUACAUAAAUAAAAUCUUUAAUAAAAUAAAAUAAAAUAAAAUA